rnacentral:rRNA from 1 species
GUGGGGAAUAUUGGUCAAUGGCCGGAAGGCUGAACCAGCCAUGCCGCGUGCAGGAAUAAGGCCCUAUGGGUCGUAAACUGCUUUUGUGGUGGAGCAAUAAGACGUACGUGUACGUCGAUGAGAGUACAUCACGAAUAAGCAUCGGCUAACUCCGUGCCAGCAGCCGCGGUAAUACGGAGGAUGCAAGCGUUAUCCGGAUUUAUUGGGUUUAAAGGGUGCGUAGGCUGUUCGUCAAGUCAGAGGUGAAAUACCUGAGCCUAACUCAGGAACUGCCUUUGAUACUGGCGAGCUGGAAUACGGAUGCCGUGGGAGGAAUGAGUAGUGUAGCGGUGAAAUGCAUAGAUAUUACUCAGAACACCGAUUGCGAAGGCAUCUCACGAAUCCGUCAUUGACGCUGAGGCACGAAAGCGUGGGGAUCAAACAGG